GAAGGCCAUGACAGAAAUUUUGGAUUUCCUUCAACAACACAAUGCACAAGAGAUUCUGAAUUUCUUUCUUUCAAAUUCUGUUAAUGAACAUCUUUAAUCCUAGAAUCAAUGUCAAUUGCUUCUUGUAUUUGAGAAAACAUUCCCCAAUCAUCCUCAAGAAAUUCCUAUGUAUCUUCCUCUGUCUUUUGCUGAAAUUUUCCUUGGU
rnacentral:misc_RNA from 1 species